CCCCAAAUGGAGCGCAGAACGCCAGCCCUGCCUGCUGCAUCUGGAUGGAGGACUGGGAGCUGGACUGGACUCGUACUGCGACAGAGAUGGAAGGACAGAGAGACAGCCAUUGAGAGAGGGAAAGGGAAUAAAAGAGACAGAGACACACAAAAGAAUAAGGCCCAGAGAUGGACUGGGUGGCAGGAUGAGAAAUCAAUGAAAGCGAGGCCUUGGAUUGAAAUGCCUCGGACUGGAGGCAGAGGGAGAGCACUGCUGAGUGAACAGUGUGGAGUCAAGGGAGCGGCCAGAAGGAAACCCUGGGGCCCAAAGUGGAAGCCCCACAGUGCUUCCUCCUUGUCUAAUCUUCCUGAGCUUUGGAGUGUGACAAUGGUGUUUGUGUCCUCUGCUAUCAAACGCCAUUAUCACACCAAAUAGCUAGGGUGAGAAGAGAACCACCUGGCCAUGACUGUCUGCUGAUGUCAUUGCGUUCUUCAGAACUCACAAAACAAACAAACAGCCACCUAUAUGGAUAACAGAGUUUUUUGUUUCCAGGUAUAGCAACUUGCUGAGCAAGAAACCCUCCUUUUAGUCUGAUCAUCCGUGCACAUACUUUAUUUUAAAUGGACAGUUACAUUGAAAUCAGAUGAGUCAACUGUUACUGGGCAGAGUAGGGUGGGGAGGUCAUAGAGUUAAACACUGUAGAUGAGUGACACCUUGGCAACAACCAAGGACUCAGAUGGUGACCCAGUUCUCUGUGUGCCUAGGUGGUGUUCAUGGGUCUCUAAUGCACAAAUACUGUGAUCCUCACAGACAAAAAUACAUGACCCAUUUUGUGCCUGACAAAGCUUUAGUGUUGUGCUGUAUUGUAAAUGCAUUCAUAUAAUAAACAUUUGUAAAGAUUGAA